CCUUGAGGCGUGGCUUCCGGAGCUAACGCGUUAAGUCGACCGCCUGGGGAGUACGGCCGCAAGGUUAAAACUCAAAUGAAUUGACGGGGGCCCGCACAAGCGGUGGAGCAUGUGGUUUAAUUCGAUGCAACGCGAAGAACCUUACCUGGCCUUGACAUCCACGGAAUUUGGCAGAGAUGCCUUAGUGCCUUCGGGAACCGUGAGACAGGUGCUGCAUGGCUGUCGUCAGCUCGUGUUGUGAAAUGUUGGGUUAAGUCCCGCAACGAGCGCAACCCUUAUCCUUUGUUGCCAGCACGUAAUGGUGGGAACUCAAAGGAGACUGCCGGUGAUAAACCGGAGGAAGGUGGGGAUGACGUCAAGUCAUCAUGGCCCUUACGGCCAGGGCUACACACGUGCUACAAUGGCGCAUACAAAGAGAAGCGACCUCGCGAGAGCAAGCGGACCUCAUAAAGUGCGUCGUAGUCCGGAUCGGAGUCUGCAACUCGACUCCGUGAAGUCGGAAUCGCUAGUAAUCGUAGAUCAGAAUGCUACGGUGAAUACGUUCCCGGGCCUUGUACACACCGCCCGUCACACCAUGGGAGUGGGUUGCAAAAGAAGUA
rnacentral:rRNA from 1 species